GGCCUAGAACUCAGAGAUCACCUGCAUAAGGUGGAAUAUUCCAGAGAAGAGUAGCAAGGCCCCUGUGCCAAGAUGACACAGUGAAGCAGGCACGUUAUUUUU